GGGGAUUUAGCUCAGUGGUAGAGCGCUUGCCUAGAAAACGAAAGGCCCUGGGUUCGGUCCCCAGCUCG
rnacentral:tRNA from 1 species